rnacentral:misc_RNA from 1 species
GAAAUGCGAUAAGUAAUGUGAAUUGCAGAAUUCAGUGAAUCAUCGAAUCUUUGAACGCACCUUGCGCUCCUUGGUAUUCCGAGGAGCAUGCCUGUUUGAGUGUCAUUAAAUUCUCAACCUCACCAGUUUUCUGAACUGUGUCGAGGCUUGGAUGUGGGGGUUUGUGCAGGCUGCCUCAGCGCGGUCUGCUCCCCUGAAAUGUAUUAGCGAGUUCAUACUGAGCUCCGUCUAUUGGUGUGAUAAUUAUCUACGCCGUUGGUCGGGUUCAGACUUGCUUCUAACCGUCCGCAAGGACAACACUUUGACAAUUUGACCUCAAAUCAGGUAAGACUACCCGCUGAACUUAA